AAAUUGAAGAGUUUGAUCAUGGCUCAGAUUGAACGCUGGCGGCAGGCCUAACACAUGCAAGUCGAACGGUAACAGGAAGCAGCUUGCUGCUUCGCUGACGAGUGGCGGACGGGUGAGUAAUGUCUGGGAAACUGCCUGAUGGAGGGGGAUAACUACUGGAAACGGUAGCUAAUACCGCAUAAUGUCGCAAGACCAAAGAGGGGGACCUUCGGGCCUCUUGCCAUCGGAUGUGCCCAGAUGGGAUUAGCUUGUUGGUGGGGUAACGGCUCACCAAGGCGACGAUCCCUAGCUGGUCUGAGAGGAUGACCAGCCACACUGGAACUGAGACACGGUCCAGACUCCUACGGGAGGCAGCAGUGGGGAAUAUUGCACAAUGGGCGCAAGCCUGAUGCAGCCAUGCCGCGUGUAUGAAGAAGGCCUUCGGGUUGUAAAGUACUUUCAGCGGGGAGGAAGGGAGUAAAGUUAAUACCUUUGCUCAUUGACGUUACCCGCAGAAGAAGCACCGGCUAACUCCGUGCCAGCAGCCGCGGUAAUACGGAGGGUGCAAGCGUUAAUCGGAAUUACUGGGCGUAAAGCGCACGCAGGCGGUUUGUUAAGUCAGAUGUGAAAUCCCCGGGCUCAACCUGGGAACUGCAUCUGAUACUGGCAAGCUUGAGUCUCGUAGAGGGGGGUAGAAUUCCAGGUGUAGCGGUGAAAUGCGUAGAGAUCUGGAGGAAUACCGGUGGCGAAGGCGGCCCCCUGGACGAAGACUGACGCUCAGGUGCGAAAGCGUGGGGAGCAAACAGGAUUAGAUACCCUGGUAGUCCACGCCGUAAACGAUGUCGACUUGGAGGUUGUGCCCUUGAGGCGUGGCUUCCGGAGCUAACGCGUUAAGUCGACCGCCUGGGGAGUACGUACCGCAAGGUUAAAACUCAAAUGAAUUGACGGGGGCCCGCACAAGCGGUGGAGCAUGUGGUUUAAUUCGAUGCAACGCGAAGAACCUUACCUGGUCUUGACAUCCACGGAAGUUUUCAGAGAUGAGAAUGUGCCUUCGGGAACCGUGAGACAGGUGCUGCAUGGCUGUCGUCAGCUCGUGUUGUGAAAUGUUGGGUUAAGUCCCGCAACGAGCGCAACCCUUAUCCUUUGUUGCCAGCGGUCCGACUCGGGAACUCAAAGGAGACUGCCAGUGAUAAACUGGAGGAAGGUGGGGAUGACGUCAAGUCAUCAUGGCCCUUACGACCAGGGCUACACACGUGCUACAAUGGCGCAUACAAAGAGAAGCGACCUCGCGAGAGCAAGCGGACCUCAUAAAGUGCGUCGUAGUCCGGAUUGGAGUCUGCAACUCGACUCCAUGAAGUCGGAAUCGCUAGUAAUCGUGGAUCAGAAUGCCACGGUGAAUACGUUCCCGGGCCUUGUACACACCGCCCGUCACACCAUGGGAGUGGGUUGCAAAAGAAGUAGGUAGCUUAACCUUCGGGAGGGCGCUUACCACUUUGUGAUUCAUGACUGGGGUGAAGUCGUAACAAGGUAACCGUAGGGGAACCUGCGGUUGGAUCACCUCCUUA
rnacentral:rRNA from 1 species